rnacentral:lncRNA from 1 species
UUUUUGUUUUUUGUUUUUGUUUUUUUUAAGCAAAAAUGUUGUUCCUUGAAAAAAGUGGCAAGUUCUGCUCCUAACUCCAAUGACAGCUCCAUUGCUUUUCCCCUGGAAAACCAACACACUUUGGUAUGCAGCAGGAGCAUUUUAUGUUCUCUGCACUUUCCAUUUCACUGCAUGGAAUAUUAAAAAGAGGUGUACUCAAAGUCAAGAUUUAAGACAUUUAAUACUUUUUACUGCUUCAUCAAGGACAUCCUUAAGUGAAACAGGUGCUUUUUUGGCAGCCAGUACAUGAGGUAAAGAAUGCACUGACCACCAGAGUAGUUUGCACCAAGGUGCCACAUUUCCGCCCACAUUGCUUUUGCUUCAUCAGUGCACAUGCUCACACCAUAAAAAUAAAUAAAUAAAAAUGGCAGAAAGGCAAAUGACAUCUUGGUGUUCUUGUGAAAAAAGGUUUGACAUCAUAUAUGCCUGAAAGGGUUUCAGAUUCCCCACAGAUCCAUGGACCACACUUUGAGAACCUCCAUCCUAUGAUACCUUCUAGUUCUGAGAAUCCAUGACUCUUCCCUAACACCAGAUCUCCUAGAUGACUUUUUCUAAAGCUAUCCUCAAACUGGUGCCACAAAAGAGAGAAGAGUAGCCCCAAUAUCCCUGUCGUGCUUCAGUCCACUUAGAUUCUGAAUCAAGAGAUGUGAAGUAUGGCUGGGGGUGGGCAGGAGGGCAUGUGAGCAUCCAGUUGAGUCCACUGGACAGCAUCUUGUGUCAUGCUGGGUGGUAGAUAAUGAAGGAAGUGACCUAUGUCAGGGUUCCCACAGGGUGUCUAAGGCCUUAGAUGCUUCUAAGUCCUUUCUGGGCAGAGUGUUCAGGAAACAACCUCCUUUCUGCAGGGCUGUUUGUCUCUUUCCCCAAUUAAUUCUUCCUGACAUCUAACAUUAGAUGUGUAAGCAAUGAUAUCUGGUCUAGGUCAGCCACUCCAUAACUAUUUAUAAUCCUGCAGGAAAUCAUUACUCUUUUCAUUUCAAGAUUAACUGAUUAAAAAAAAACUAAUUAUGGCAGGUCAUAAAAACAAAUUUCAAAGGGUGCUUUGGGGACAGAGUGACCUGGUAAAUAAUUAUUUUCUCUUGUACCUAGCUCUCUAACCACACAAAGACUUUAUCACUGUCUUCCUGAUGAGCGGCUUUUAAGAACUAGCUGGGAUUCAGGGAAUUGGGGAAGUGGGAUAGAGAUGAGGUUUGCAUCAAGGCACAAGGUUUUUAGGGUAUUAAAAAAUCUAAAUGUGUCCUAUGAGGACAGGCAAUAUGGCUGCAGAGCACUGGGGGAUAUUUAGAAGUCUGCAAAGAAUCUCUGAAAUAAAUGCUAGGGUAGAGACUCUUUGGGUUUCAUAUCAGGUUGAAAUUGAUGAGAUUUCACCACAGUAAAUACAAUUGAUCUCAGCCCUCCUCCUCUGGAGCCAUCAGGGGGCAUCCUCUGUGACCUUGAGGAUUUUGUCAAAUUGGUAAAAAUGAGGUAAGAUGUUCUCUCAAAGGGAACUGUAUAACAAGUCACUGUGCUGGCUGAGAAUUUCUAUGUCUUCAUGCUCCCUGACAAUUAGUGUCUUUUCUGUUUAACAAACAUUACUGUUUUGACAUCUACCCUGUGCCUAACUCUGAGAAAGGCAUUGGAAAGAAUAUAAAAAUUAUUAAUAUAAAAUCCUUUAUCUCUAAUUUUUUGAAGGAAAUAAGAAUUAUGCACAAAAGUCUAAAAAAACAAAUGAAAAGCAUGGGUCUUCCACUUCCUAACUGUGUAACUGUAUAAACAAGUUGUAUAGGCUUUCUGAACUUCAGAUUUCUUGUCUGUAACAUAGGGAUAACCCUAGUACAUCCCUUGUGGGGUUAUUUUGGACAUUAAAUGAAAAAACAUGUGUAAAGAGCCUUCUACAGAGCCUGAACUUAGCAUUCCAAGUAUCUGAGUCCAUUGUAACUAUCAUUUUUGAGUGACUUUCCCUCCUAACAAUAACUAGGGAGCAUUAAUCCCUUUACAAAUGAUGGAAUCCGAGGCUUAGGAAAAUAAAAUAAUUCACUAUUCCAUGAUACCCUUUGGAUGAGAAUCAUUGCAAAAGAGUAGAGAAAGGGACAGGCAUUGAAAAGAUAAGGGUCAUUAAUAGUUGUGGUAUCCUGUCUCCAAAAUGGUGUUCUGGGGAACCGUCAUAUUUGUAUCCUUGUAUAGCCCCCUCACUCAGUAUUGCAGGCUGGCCCUGCAAUAAAUGUGGCAUCAGUAAUGAUACAUGAUGUCAGAUGUGGCUUAAAGGAGUCUAGUAGCUUCCACUCGGCUCCUUUGAGAUGCUUGCUCUUAAGAUGCUCCACCUUGGAGCUCAGCUACCAUGCUGCGAGGUGCCGAAACCUAAGCCGCUACCUCAGCUAAGCUCACAGCCAACAACCAGCACCAAGAUGAUAGUCCUGUGCAUGCACCACUUUGGACUUUAUCCAAAGCCAAGUCUCAAGAUGACUACAGACCAGAUGAUAUUCGACUACAACUGCUUUUGAGAAAUCCAAGUGAGAACUGCCCAGACGAGAUGGGGUCCCAUUUCACCUAAAAUGUGGAAAGAUACAAGGGAAUCUUUCUCUCAACUUAAGAAUAAGAACUAGAUGAUCUAAACAAUCAUAACUUUUCUGAAGCAUGUCAGAAAGCUAAAGUCACAAAACAACUAGGUUAACUCAAAUCAAAAGGUCAUCAAGCCCCUCCAAGAAGAGAUGAGACCUGUGAACUGUUGCAUUUGUGGCAGAGCGUAGGAGUCAGAGGGGACCUCCAUAAUGGCAGAUGGCAGGUAGGGACCCACUUGUCAUUCACUAUAUGCUAAAACUAUUUUAAAUUUUAAAGGGACUUGGACGGGGAAGCAGAUGACCUGUUUUGUAGACAGAUGCUGAUCACAGCUCAGUGACCUUGGGAAGUUCCCCACAUUUUGGCACCAAUCUGGUUGAGGCUGCUGGCUGCCUGUGGCAGACAUUGCAAUGAUGACACUGGGCACUUCUCAAAGUGCAUGGAGCAGGAAGGCCAUUGAGACAGGAAGGCCAGGGCACUCAAGGAUGGGCAGUGGCUUUGACACACUCCACAGCUGGCAGACAGCAAAGGUUCUGAACACUUCCUGCCUCUCCUGUUCAUUGAUUAAUGUGCACAGCUUUACACAAAUCACACAUCUCCCCUGUGCUUUUGUGCCUCCUUUUACAAGGUUCAGAAAACUAAUACAGACACCCUUACCACACUCCUUCCCACCACUACAUGCACACACACUCAUUUGCAAACACUGUGGUGAGGAAGAGCCAGGCAAAGUGACAGAACCACUUUACCAGUAAAAUGACCACUGAUACCAAAUGACUUGACAGGUUAAAGGAUGCAGAGACAAUAAAUUGUCUUAAUGAAUCUCUAAGUGACCAAAAGAAACUGGACACCAAAGCCCUGAGAGAAGUAAAAAUGUUUUGUUUUGUUUUGCAAAAUAUCAUCUAUAAAGAAUCUAUUAUGUACCAGGAACUUUGCACAUUUUUUAACGUUCUUUAUCUCCAAUUCAUACAAAACUAAAAGUUAGAUGUUACUGUGCCAUUUUGCACAUGGGAAAGCCAAGGUCGAGUACAGAGUAGUGAUUAUGUCAUAGGCUGUGCAGUCAGACUACGUGGGCUUGGUUCCCAGCUCUGCUACUGACUGACCAUGUGACUGUGGACGAGUCUCUGUGCCUCAGUCAUUCCUUCUAUGAAAUGGGGAUAAUAAUGGUACUUUUAGUAAAUGAGAGAGUAAGAGUAAGACAUGAGGCAAUGUGCCUAGCAUACAGUAAGCCCUUAAUGAACAUGACUUGUCAUUAUAAGUUACUUUACCCAAACCACACAAUGAGAAAGAGUCUGACUCCAAAGUUGCAUUCUUUCCAAAGAAAUAUUUGUGGUUAUGAAAAUUGUUUUUGUGAAAUAUUAAUAUAUUUAAAUAACCUAAGUUAAACAGAACUAGUAUGAAAUCAGACAGACCUCCCUCACUUGCCACGAUCCCCUUGAGGCAGCAUAGCCAGGA